GUUGUUGAGUGAAUACGCCGGUCGCUUCGUUCUACGCAAGUUUCUUGAGAUUGUAAAUUUCACAAAUUUGUAUACAUAUAAAAUUGUGUAUCGACGCGUUCAUCAUUGAUCAACAUGGAAUACUCCAAGAUUCCACCAUAUCCGCCGGCAUACACCCCGGAAGAUCACAAUAGGAUGUAUCCCACAGCCAGUGCACCACCCACCGAAAUGAUCCACUCAGCACCGCCACCUCCUCCCGCACCUGUAAAUGUUGUAAAUCAAACAACGAUUGUUGUUGAUGGACAGGGUGGUGGACCAGGAAUGACCUGUCCUCAUUGUCGUGCCCGUGUCACGAUGACUGUCAAGCAUCAUGCGACAUGCAAGACUUAUUGUCUUGCUGGGAUUCUAUGCCUCUUCUUCUGCAACAACAAUGUCCUCUCCCGUUGGCCCAACUCCGGCAAAUGUUGUCUGCCCCAAUUGCCGGCAACAGGUGACAACUCGCACUGAGCCAAAGGCCACGAACAAAACGCAUUUGAUUGCGCUUCUCAUGUGCUGCUGCUUCUGCUGGAUCUGUGCUCCGUUUCUCUACUGCACAGACUGUGCUCGCAACACCGACCACUAUUGCCCCUCGUGCCAGACCUUCAUCGGCAGCUAUGAGCGCUGAUCGGAGCUGAAGUGCAAAUGUCACAUUCUUGGGAAUCGUCACCCCAGAGGCUUAACAUUACUGCACCUCACUGCCCAUCACUCUCUUUUGAUAUUCUCCAAAUAUUAUAUAUGAAUACCUCACCACAACUUAUUAUAUGUAUGCUAUUCGUAUGCAAUUACUUUAAUGUUGGUAAAGAAAUUAUAAUGCGAUUCCAUAAUAAAGUCUAAUCACACAAUCGA